rnacentral:rRNA from 1 species
UACGUAGGUCCCGAGCGUUGUCCGGAUUUAUUGGGCGUAAAGCGAACGCAGGUGGUUUAUUAAGUCUGGUGUAAAAGGCAGUGGCUCAACCAUUGUAUGCAUUGGAAACUGGUAGACUUGAGUGCAGGAGAGGAGAGUGGAAUUCCAUGUGUAGCGGUGAAAUGCGUAGAUAUAUGGAGGAACACCGGUGGCGAAAGCGGCUCUCUGGCCUGUAACUGACACUGAGGCUCGAAGGCGUGGGUAUCGAACAGG